AGUCACUGACAUUAGAUACCCCCGUAGUCCAGGGUGUAAACGCUGCAGACUUGGUGUUGGGAACCCUUCGGGGUGCUCAGUGCCGGAGAGAAGUUGUUAAGUCUGCUACUUGGGGAGUACGUCCGCAAGGAUGAAACUUAAAGGAAUUGGCGGGGGAGCACCGCAACGGGAGGAGCGUGCGGUUUAAUUGGAUUCAACGCCGAAAAACUCACCAGCAGCGACUGUUACAUGAAAGUCAGGUUGAUGACCUUACUAGAUUUUCAG
rnacentral:rRNA from 1 species